rnacentral:rRNA from 1 species
UACGGAGGAUGCGAGCGUUGUCCGGAUUUAUUGGGCGUAAAGCGAGCGCAGGCGGAAAGAUAAGUCUGAUGUGAAAGCCCCCGGCUUAACCGAGGAAUUGCAUCGGAAACUGUGUUUCUUGAGUGCAGAAGAGGAGAGUGGAACUCCAUGUGUAGCGGUGGAAUGCGUAGAUAUAUGGAAGAACACCAGUGGCGAAGGCGGCUCUCUGGUCUGUAACUGACGCUGAAGCACGAGAGCGUGGGUAGCGAACAGG